UACGGGGGGGGCAAGCGUUGUUCGGAAUUACUGGGCGUAAAGGGCUCGUAGGCGGCCAACUAAGUCAGACGUGAAAUCCCUCGGCUUAACCGGGGAACUGCGUCUGAUACUGGAUGGCUUGAGGUUGGGAGAGGGAUGCGGAAUUCCAGGUGUAGCGGUGAAAUGCGUAGAUAUCUGGAGGAACACCGGUGGCGAAGGCGGCAUCCUGGACCAAAUCUGACGCUGAGGAGCGAAAGCGUGGGGAGCGAACAGG
rnacentral:rRNA from 1 species